rnacentral:rRNA from 1 species
AUGAACGCUGGCGGCGUGCCUAAUACAUGCAAGUCGAGCGAACGGACGAGAAGCUUGCUUCUCUGAUGUUAGCGGCGGACGGGUGAGUAACACGUGGAUAACCUACCUAUAAGACUGGGAUAACUUCGGGAAACCGUAGCUAAUACCGGAUAAUAUUUUGAACCGCAUGGUUCAAAAGUGAAAGACGGUCUUGCUGUCACUUAUAGAUGGAUCCGCGCUGCAUUAGCUAGUUGGUAAGGUAACGGCUUACCAAGGCAACGAUGCAUAGCCGACCUGAGAGGGUGAUCGGCUACACUGGAACUGAGACACGGUCCAGACUCCUACGGGAGGCAGCAGUAGGGAAUCUUCCGCAAUGGGCGAAAGCCUGACGGAGCAACGCCGCGUGAGUGAUGAAGGUCUUCGGAUCGUAAAACUCUGUUAUUAGGGAAGAACAUAUGUGUAAGUAACUGUGCACAUCUUGACGGUACCUAAUCAGAAAGCCACGGCUAACUACGUG